GUUACGAUGGUAAUAUGGAGGACGGAAUGUGUGUUCAGCAACAAGCCAUCUGGGAGGGAAAAUGACAAAGUCGAGUAAUGCUACUCCAGGUUUAUCAGUUGGCGCCGUUAAUACUGUAUUUAUUGAUGGAUCACUGUGAUCAAACAACACAGUAUUGUAAGGGCAGAACUUACUGAGAUCGUACUUAUAGGGAACAUAAUUUCCAUGCCAGGCAACUACAUUAAAGGGAGAAAAGUCUUGUAUCGCAGUAAACAAUUCCCCACCAAAUUUUUGAACAAUUGUGUAACCAGGACGAGAACUCUUUUCAAACCAGGCUACAGGCGCAAGGAAAUCCCUUGGUGCAGCAAGACCAUUAGCACCUAUCGGUCCAAGGUCAGGAAGCUGGAAAUGACUGCCAAAAAUCUCAGCUACAUAGCCACGUGAUGGACCAUCAGGCAGAUCAACAACAAAGCGAAAACCUUGAGGUAAAACCACUAUUUCACCUGGAGAAACUUCCAGUCUACCACACUCUGUUAUAAUCCACAGCCUUCCACUCUGAGGAACUAUCAAGAA
rnacentral:misc_RNA from 1 species